rnacentral:lncRNA from 1 species
UAUUAGACGAAACAAUGAAAUUUGCUGCUCGCAAGUUUAUUGAUGCUGCUUAAUAUCACUUAUCCAUUGGUGCAUGAUGAAAAUGUUCCUCAUAUCCAGUUGCUUCCACAGACUGAGAACAUCCCAUAUGAUUACUACAGUGAUGGAGAACUGCUUCAUUUGCUAGCUUCAAAAUCUGAUCAAAUACUUAGUUUACAGUACCUAUGUCUCUACUUCACAGCAAUGUUUUGUUCUGUUGUCAGCUUAUUCUCAUGUGUUUAUUAUUUUUAUGUAUAAAUGUGCCCCUUUCUUUCUUUCUCUUUUUUUUUUUUUUUUUUUUUUU